AUUGAACGCUGGCGGCAUGCCUUACACAUGCAAGUCGAACGGCAGCGGGGGAGAAGCUUGCUUUUCCUGCCGGCGAGUGGCGAACGGGUGAGUAAUACAUCGGAACGUGCCCUGUAGUGGGGGAUAACUAGUCGAAAGAUUAGCUAAUACCGCAUACGACCUGAGGGUGAAAGUGGGGGACCGCAAGGCCUCAUGCUAUAGGAGCGGCCGAUGUCUGAUUAGCUAGUUGGUGGGGUAAAGGCCUACCAAGGCGACGAUCAGUAGCUGGUCUGAGAGGACGGUAAGCCACACUGGGACUGAGACACGGCCCAGACUCCUACGGGAGGCAGCAGUGGGGAAUUUUGGACAAUGGGCGAAAGCCUGAUCCAGCAAUGCCGCGUGUGUGAAGAAGGCCUUCGGGUUGUAAAGCACUUUUGUCCGGAAAGAAAUGGCUCUGGUUAAUACCUGGGGUCGAUGACGGUACCGGAAGAAUAAGGACCGGCUAACUACGUGCCAGCCGCCGCCGUAA
rnacentral:rRNA from 1 species